GAAGAUUUCAGAGUUCUCUUCCACACCAAUUUUGCACCCCAACGAUUAUACACCUAUAGCAGUAAUCAUCUGCUUCCAAAAGGCUUGGAGCAUGUGGCUGAGGAGGCAUGUCCUGUUUUUGAAGGAGUCGGUGCAGGUGCAUGGAUCUCUUUAAAGUAGUUGUGUCAAGCUGCUUGGGUGAUGAAUUAGUAAUUAAGUUGCUUCUGGUUUUUUUAGGCGUUGUUGAUGUUACAAGGACCAAUUUUAAGCCAAAUAACCAUGCUACUUGGGUGUUGAUUUAUUGCUCAAGUUGCAAGGUCAACAUGUCUCUUAUUUAUGAAGCAAUCCUGAGUAGUAUUAGUAAUUCAUGGAUGUAGUAUUUUGGGUUUAAAAUAGAUUAUUGAAAUGUUUUAACAUUGCUCAAGUAUUAUUUUUAGAAGUUGCUGAUCAGAAAAAAUGAAGUGCUUUACUUUAAAUUGGUUGUGUAUGUGCAAUUAUUUUUUACCAUCUAUGCUUUACUCUAUAGAUUGUUCUAAAGCUUACCCUGAACGGUGGUUUCUCACCUAAUAUCCUUUUUAUGCUUUGAUUUUUGAGGAUAUGCUCUUAUAUAUCAGUUUUGUAAUUUUAAUGAAAACAACAGGGGGUUAAAAAAAAUACUCUUGGUGAAUUUACUUGAAUAAUAAGUAUUCGGGAGAAGUUUCUUCAGGUUUUUGAACCUUUGAAGAAUGAUGUCCAUGCUUAAUUAUGUUGCUGGACAUGAGUGUAUAUUGAUCAUGAAGGAGGUUUUAUUGCCUGCUUUUGAUUUUAUAUUCAUGCAUAAGAUUUUUUUUACUUCUUUAUUAGAACACAUUUGUUAUCAUUGAUAUUGAUCUUAUGAAUUUCUGGGAAUUUCUUUCAUAAUUAAUGGCUGGAAGUGGAAGGUCUUCGAGAAAAAUCUAUCACUUCAUCUUUUUGAUAGUUUCGUGAUAUGCUAGCCAAGGAUUUUGUGGAGACAAUCAAGUAAAUAUAGGACCUGAAAGCUUAGCCGAUCGAAAUUAUUCUCCACAAACUAAAUAUAGGACCUGUGUUGUUUCGACAUUGAUUUCACCUAAAUCAAGAAUUCUUUUGCUGAUGCAAGCCUCUCAAUGCUAAAGAUAUAAGAGCAUCAGCCACAAUGACUUUAGAUUUUGAUUUUGCCAAAGAUGUAGAGCUUCCAUAAAUGACAUUAGAUUAUGUAAAAAAGUCAAGAAUUUUAUUUUCUUAAAGAUUGUUUUGAA